GAAUUCGAUGGGGAUGGGGUUCCCCGAAAUCGCCGAAGAGGCUGAUGACUCCUGCCGCGCC
rnacentral:ncRNA from 1 species